rnacentral:rRNA from 1 species
UACGGAGGGAGCUAGCGUUGUUCGGAAUUACUGGGCGUAAAGCGCGCGUAGGCGGCUUUGUAAGUUAGAGGUGAAAGCCCGGGGCUCAACUCCGGAACUGCCUUUAAGACUGCAUCGCUAGAAUCCGGGAGAGGUGAGUGGAAUUCCGAGUGUAGAGGUGAAAUUCGUAGAGAUGUGGAGGAACACCAGUGGCGAAGGCGGCUCACUGGCCCGGUACUGACGCUGAGGUGCGAAAGCGUGGGGAGCAAACAGG